rnacentral:rRNA from 1 species
CCUACGGGGGGCAGCAGUGGGGAAUAUUGCGCAAUGGGCGAAAGCCUGACGCAGCGACGCCGCGUGAGGGAUGAAGGUCUUCGGAUUGUAAAGCUCUGUCAGCAGGGAAGAACGGUCACUGUGCUAAUCAACAGGGCAUUGACGGUACCUGCACAGGAAGCACCGGCUAACUCCGUGCCAGCAGCCGCGGUAAUACGGAGGGUGCGAGCGUUAAUCGGAAUUACUGGGCGUAAAGCGCUCGUAGGCGGUAGGUCAAGUCAAGGGUGAAAUCCCCGCGCUCAACGUGGGAACUGCCUUUGAAACUGGCAAACUGGAGUGUGGGAGAGGAUAGUGGAAUUCCUGGUGUAGGAGUGAAAUGCGUAGAUAUCAGGAGGAACAUCAGUGGCGAAGGCGACUAUCUGGCACAUAACUGACGCUGAGGAGCGAAAGCGUGGGUAGCAAACAGGAUUAGAUACCCGAGUAGUC